rnacentral:rRNA from 1 species
CCAAUAGCGUAUAUUAAAGUUGUUGCAGUUAAAAAGCUCGUAGUUGAAUUUCGGGGUCAGUAGGUUGGUCAUGCCACUGGUAUGUACUGGUCUCACUGAUUCCUCCUUCCUGAUGAACUGUGAUGCCAUUAAUUUGGUGUUGCAGGGAAUCUGGACUGUUACUUUGAAAAAAUUAGAGUGUUUAAAGCAGGCUAACGCCUGAAUACAUUAGCAUGGAAUAAUGAAAUAGGACGUUCGAUCCUAUUUUGUUGGUUUCUAGGAUUGACGUAAUGAUUAAUAGGGAUAGUUGGGGGCAUUAGUAUUCAAUUGUCAGAGGUGAAAUUCUUGGAUUUAUUGAAGACUAACUACUGCGAAAGCAUUUGCCAAGGAUGUUUUCAUUAAUCAAGAACGAAAGUUAGGGGAUCGAAGACGAUCAGAUACCGUCGUAGUCUUAACCAUAAACUAUGCCGACUAGGGAUCGGAUGAUGUUAAUUUUUUAAUGACUCAUUCGGCGCCUUACG